CAAUCAGCAAGCAUACUGC
rnacentral:miRNA from 1 species